UUCCCUUUGGUGACCGCAAGUGUGCAGGUGUGCUGCCGGAAGGUUGUCCCUGGGUGUGCACCAUGACUGGGUUGCUCAGGAAGGGUCGGCUGCCAGGAAACCUGGACACUCUCUGGUGAGGCGGCGCCCUCGGAGUCCAGCCUCGCAGCGUCCGUGGGAUGUCGGUGGAUCCCUUGUGAUGGCAAGCAGCACUUCUUUGCCAAAACCAACCAGGAGCGAAGAUGCUCUUGGGCCCAGUGAGAUACGUGACUGAGAGAUCGGCGCCGUUGUCCUGUGGAGUACGUGCGACAGAACACAGUGGGGACCCACCGGGCAGCUCAUGGUGGCCAGGAACAUUCCACACCCGUCCACGUAGUCACUCCUCCCAGCUUGCUGUUCACCAUGCAUGCGCAGUGUCGCUGACGUCACCCUCCUGGGGUGGAAAUUGGGUCUCGGGAAGCAAAACAGAUAGCUAAUGUUACAGUGGUCCAUGGCCUUCCGAACAGCUACAGAAGCAGACACACAGCAGCUGACGAUGGAGCUUAUAAAGCCUUCCCCUUGACUCUGGAGCGUCAGGUCCCGACCAUGUCCACUCAGUUGGUGGCUCUCCAUCCCUGCCUGUGGCCUUUUGGACACCUGUGCAGAACGUGACAUCUGGGGAACUCUUUGGGGAGUGAACGCCAGCAGUACACCCGAGACAGGACUCUCCAGACAGAGCCUUUCGUCCGCCUGUUGGCCAAGGGCCAU